AGCAGCAGCCGCGGGAAUACGUAGGUCCCGAGCGUUGUCCGGAUUUAUUGGGCGUAAAGCGAGCGCAGGCGGUUUGAUAAGUCUGAAGUUAAAGGCUGUGGCUCAACCAUAGUUCGCUUUGGAAACUGUCAAACUUGAGUGCAGAAGGGGAGAGUGGAAUUCCAUGUGUAGCGGUGAAAUGCGUAGAUAUAUGGAGGAACACCGGUGGCGAAAGCGGCUCUCUGGUCUGUAACUGACGCUGAGGCUCGAAAGCGUGGGGAGCGAACAGGAUUAGAUACCCCCGUAGUCCCUGUCUCUUAUACA
rnacentral:rRNA from 1 species